rnacentral:rRNA from 1 species
ACCACUUCGGUGGGGAUUAGUGGCGAACGGGUGAGUAACACGUGGGCAAUCUGCCCUUCACUCUGGGACAAGCCCUGGAAACGGGGUCUAAUACCGGAUAACACUCCUGCCUGCAUGGGCGGGGGUUGAAAGCUCCGGCGGUGAAGGAUGAGCCCGCGGCCUAUCAGCUUGUUGGUGAGGUAAUGGCUCACCAAGGCGACGACGGGUAGCCGGCCUGAGAGGGCGACCGGCCACACUGGGACUGAGACACGGCCCAGACUCCUACGGGAGGCAGCAGUGGGGAAUAUUGCACAAUGGGCGAAAGCCUGAUGCAGCGACGCCGCGUGAGGGAUGACGGCCUUCGGGUUGUAAACCUCUUUCAGCAGGGAAGAAGCGAAAGUGACGGUACCUGCAGAAGAAGCGCCGGCUAACUACGUGCC